rnacentral:piRNA from 1 species
UUGACAAGCUGUAACUUGUCUGUGAAAUGC